AGUGAACGCUGGCGGUAUGCCUAACACAUGCAAGUCGAACGGCAGCACAGUAAGAUCUUGCUCUUACGGGUGGCGAGUGGCGGACGGGUGAGGAAUACAUCGGAAUCUACUUUUUCGUGGGGGAUAACGUAGGGAAACUUACGCUAAUACCGCAUACGACCUACGGGUUAAAGCAGGGGAUCUUCGGACCUUUCGCGAUUGAAUGAGCCGAUGUCGGAUUAGCUAGUUGGCGGGGUAAAGGCCCACCAAGGCGACGAUCCGUAGCUGGUCUGAGAGGAUGAUCAGCCACACUGGAACUGAGACACGGUCCAGACUCCUACGGGAGGCAGCAGUGGGGAAUAUUGGACAAUGGGCGAAAGCCUGAUCCAGCAAUACCGCGUGGGUGAAGAAGGCCUUCGGGUUGUAAAGCCCUUUUGUUGGGAAAGAAAAGCAGCAGGUUAAUACACCGAUGUUCUGACGGUACCCAAAGAAUAAGCACCGGCUAACUUCGUG
rnacentral:rRNA from 1 species